rnacentral:rRNA from 1 species
UACGAAGGGAGCUAGCGUUGCUCGGAAUCACUGGGCGUAAAGGGUGCGUAGGCGGGUCUUUUAAGUCAGGGGUGAAAUCCUGGAGCUCAACUCCAGAACUGCCUUUGAUACUGAAGAUCUUGAGUUCGGGAGAGGUGAGUGGAACUGCGAGUGUAGAGGUGAAAUUCGUAGAUAUUCGCAAGAACACCAGUGGCGAAGGCGGCUCACUGGCCCGGUACUGACGCUGAGGCACGAAAGCGUGGGGAGCAAACAGGG